GAAAAUGAAAGAAAUGGAGCAAGAGAUUGAGGAGUUGAAGAAAGCGGCGUCUGAACGUAGCAAAGUAGCGGAGUUAUCGAUCGAAAGUGACGAGCUUUCUUCUUCUCAGAGGUUUCAAGGACUAGUGGAAGUGUCAGUGAAGUCGAAUCUGAUCAAGAAUUUAAAAAGAGCAAAGAGUUCAGACGGGGUCAUUUCUUCAUUAAGUUCUGAUACUUCUAAUCAUAAUCACAAGCUUGAGCGACAAGAUUCUAAGAGAGAAGAACCAGAGGGUGAGAGACCAAGGCACUCGCGGUGUAACUCAGAAGAACUCACCUUCUCCUUCGCCUUCGACUCAACUCAGUCUAGUCUCAGAUCACGUGUUCCUCGCGUGCCGAAUCCACCGCCAAAACCAUCAUCAUCCUCUUCACUUCCAGCAGAUAACAAACUUUCAGCGGGUAAACAGUUUCCUCCACCGCCUCCGCCUCCGCCUCCAGCGCCAAAGCCGUUGCCUGCUCCGGCAAUGUCAGCGCCUCCACCGCCUCCCCCGCCUCCGAAGGGACUGAGAGCGGGGCCAGCGAAGGUCAGGAGAAUUCCGGAGGUAGUGGAGUUCUACCAUUCUUUAAUGCGCAGAGA
rnacentral:lncRNA from 1 species